AAGUCGUAACAAGGUUUCCGUAGGUGAACCUGCGGAAGGAUCAUUAACACGUAUCCACGUAUAUAUAACAACAUAUCAACAUUUACAACGAACUGUGCUCCCUAUUGACCCAAUCUCGUAGCUGUGCUAAUCAGACUAUAAUGGCUCUUCGUAAGAUGAGAUGUCUGGUUGGACUGUCAUUCCUUUGAGAGUGAGGCUAUGUAAACGGGAACUCAAUAGGCUUACUAACUCUAACUGCCCGUGGAGUUCAGCUCCAAUCCCAACCAUUUUGGGCGGCAGGAAGGACCCCAUAACCAUUUUCACCCUAUUUUACCCUAUUUGGCUAAUGUAAUAGACGAUCUAAUAUGGAUCGGAUUAAGAUUUAUCUUAACUAAGCACAACUCUUAGCAAUGGAUAUCUCGGUUCUC
rnacentral:misc_RNA from 1 species